GAUCCUGGCUCAGGACGAACGCUGGCGGCGUGCUUAACACAUGCAAGUCGAACGCUGAAGCUCAGCUUGCUGGGUGGAUGAGUGGCGAACGGGUGAGUAACACGUGAGUAACCUGCCCCCUUCUUUGGGAUAACGCCCGGAAACGGGUGCUAAUACUGGAUAUUCACUGGCCUUCGCAUGGGGGUUGGGUGGAAAGGUUUGUUCUGGUGGGGGAGUGGGCUCGCGGCCUAUCAGCUUGUUGGUGGGGUGA
rnacentral:rRNA from 1 species